UACGUAGGGUGCGAGCGUUAAUCGGAAUUACUGGGCGUAAAGCGUGCGCAGGCGGUUUUUUAAGCCAGAUGUGAAAUCCCCGGGCUCAACCUGGGAACUGCAUUUGGAACUGGAAGACUAGAGUAUAGCAGAGGGGGGUAGAAUUCCACGUGUAGCAGUGAAAUGCGUAGAUAUGUGGAGGAAUACCAAUGGCGAAGGCAGCCCCCUGGGUUAAUACUGACGCUCAUGCACGAAAGCGUGGGGGGAGCAAACAGGAUUAGAUACCCUGGUAGUCCACGCCCUAAACGAUGUCAACUAGGUGUUGGGGGAGGAGACUUCCUUAGUACCGCAGCUAACGCGUGAAGUUGACCGCCUGGGGAGUACGGUCGCAAGAUUAAAACU
rnacentral:rRNA from 1 species